rnacentral:rRNA from 1 species
GAUGAGCGCUGGCGGCGUGCCUAAUACAUGCAAGUCGAGCGAACGGACGAGAAGCUUGCUUCUCUGAUGUUAGCGGCGGACGGGUGAGUAACACGUGGAUAACCUACCUAUAAGACUGGGAUAACUUCGGGAAACCGGAGCUAAUACCGGAUAAUAUUUUGAACCGCAUGGUUCAAAAGUGAAAGACGGUCUUGCUGUCACUUAUAGAUGGAUCCGCGCUGCAUUAGCUAGUUGGUAAGGUAACGGCUUACCAAGGCAACGGUGCAUAGCCGACCUGAGAGGGUGAUCGGCCACACUGGAACUGAGACACGGUCCAGACUCCUACGGGAGGCAGCAGUAGGGAAUCUUCCGCAAUGGGCGAAAGCCUGACGGAGCAACGCCGCGUGAGUGAUGAAGGUCUUCGGAUCGUAAAACUCUGUUAUUAGGGAAGAACAUAUGUGUAAGUAACUGUGCACAUCUUGACGGUACCUAAUCAGAAAGCCACGGCUAACUACGUG